GACGAACGCUGGCGGCGUGCUUAACACAUGCCAGUCGAACGGAAAGGCCCUGCUUUUGUGGGGUGCUCGAGUGGCGAAGGGGUGAGUAACACGUGAGUAACCUGCUCUAGACUUUGGGAUAACUUCAGGAAACUGGGGCUAAUAUCGGAUAGGAGCUCCUGUUGCGUGGUGGGGGUUGGAAAGUCUCGGCGGUUGGGGAUGGACGCGCGGCUUAUCAGCUAGUUGGUGGGGUAGUGGCUUACCAAGGCUUUGACGGGUAGCCGACCUGAGAGGGUGACCGGGCACAAUGGGACUGCGAUACGGCCCAGACUCCUACGGGAGGCAGCAGUGGGGAAUAUUGCCCAGUCAGCGGAAGCCUGAGGCAGCAACGCCGCGUUCGGGAUGACGGCCUUCGGGUUGUAAACCGCUUUCGCCUGUGACGAAGCGUGAGUGACGGUAAUGGAUAAAGAAGCACCGGCUAACUACGUG
rnacentral:rRNA from 1 species